AUAUAUAAAUUCCAAGGAUGUCCCAAUCACAUUUGUUGAGUCUGAGUCCAAGUCACUUGAUUUUUAGUAUCUGCAAAUAUCGAGUUCCGGUCCAAUACCUCAUCAAUUCUUCCAGAGUAGAAAAACAAUGCUCAGUCAUCUCAGUCCAAUAAAGGCAUCCCAACAUGA